rnacentral:rRNA from 1 species
AGCUGCCAGCGCAUAAUGGCGGGAACUCUAGAGAGACUGCCCAUGUUAACCGGGCGGAAGGCHCGGAUGACGUCAAGUCAUCAUGGCCCUUCUAUCCAGGGCAUACACACGUGCUACCCUGUUACAUACAGCGGGCACCGAGCCGGUGACCGCGAGCGAAUCCCUAAAGCNUAUCUCAGCCCUGAUUUGAGUCUGCAACUCGACUCCAUGAAGUUGGAAUCGCUAGUAAUCGCCGAUCAGCAUGCACGCGGUGAAUAUCUUCCCGGACCAUGUACACACCGCCCGUCACACCAUGCGA